AACACGUUGAAAUUUUCUGUCUGAAAUAGGACGUCGCAGAGACAACAAAUGAGCUAUGCGUUUAGCAUGUAUUUUCCUAUUGCGAUCCCUUUUUCUAAAAAUGUAUCUAACUUAUUGUUUUUCUGUCAAAAAAUUAUUGUUUUUUUUUUGCUAUGUUAUGAUGAUAGUGCUUCACAUCGUAUUUUGGGAAAAGUUAACAUGUCACGGAAAUCGGGCCCUUGCUAAUAUGCAAGUUUUCUUGCUAGUCACGUUGUUAUACGUCCUUCCUUUGCACAUAGCCUUUUUUUUUUUUUUUGGGCUUACCAAAAAUCCUUCAUGUUACCAGAACUGAAAAAAUGUCAAACUCACAGGACCAGUUUUAAUUCUACAUGCCAAACUUUGAGGAAAAACUCCCGCCAUAAUCCAACCUGUAAACUAGUGCUCAGCAACCUUUUUGAGGCCGAGGGCUACUUCGUGAGCACCGAUCGUACGAAGGCCUACGUGACCUGUUGGCGGCAAAUUUCAGACUCGGUUCAUUACACGUACAUCAAAUAUUUUUGUUUUAAUUUAUUGUAGUAACUGACAUUACAGGUAUUUUAAAAUUUUAAUUUACGUGAAAAGUCAGAUUCAGUAUUUAAAGCACAAAUAAUAGUAAGAAUUUGUGGCCUGUGGUAUAGAACAUACCUCGCGGGUGCCUGAUGUGGUCCUCGUGGGCUACCAUUCACCCGCGGGCACCGCGUUGGUGACCCUGACUUCAUCCACACGUUUUGGGAGUACCAAGAUGGCGGCCAAUUGACUUCAAUCGACACCGCGAGAUAUUUGAAGCCACGCCACAAGCCUGCCAUGGCAGAGGAGGACAACAGAUGGUUAGCACGUUGGGUUGCACAUGCGGAUGGCCUCGUGGACGUCAGCCGGCAUCAAACUCCAUUUUCGUGACGAACCUUGGAACAGACGUUUCUCGUUCCCACUCGCAUCCAGCCCUCAGCGCACUGCGGGGGGCUGACGGUAGGCGGCGCCGGUGUCAAGACCGC